AUUGAACGCUGGCGGCAUGCCUUACACAUGCAAGUCGAGCGGCAGCGCGGGGGCAACCCUGGCGGCGAGCGGCGAACGGGUGAGUAAUACAUCGGAACGCGUCCUGUCGUGGGGGAUAACCAGUCGAAAGACUGGCUAAUACCGCAUGAGAUCGAAAGAUGAAAGCGGGGGACCGCAAGGCCUCGCGCGAUUGGAGCGGCCGAUGUCGGACUAGCUAGUUGGCGGGGUAAAAGCCCACCAAGGCGACGAUCCGUAGCUGGUUUGAGAGAACGACCAGCCACACUGGGACUGAGACACGGCCCAGACUCCUACGGGAGGCAGCAGUGGGGAAUUUUGGACAAUGGGGGCAACCCUGAUCCAGCCAUGCCGCGUGUGUGAAGAAGGCCUUCGGGUUGUAAAGCACUUUCGGCCGGAACGAAAUCGCGCGGGCUAUUACCCCGCGUGGAUGACGGUACCGGAAGAAGAAGCACCGGCUAACUACGUGCCAGCAGCCGCCGUAA
rnacentral:rRNA from 1 species